AUCACGAUUCCACUUCGAAUAUGGACGAUCUGCGCUUGACCCACUGCGACCUCGAUGUUUCUUAGAACGGAGAUCAUGGUGGAGAGAAUGCUGCAUGCGCGCUGUUUAGAGGAAACAAGUUCUAAAUUCAAAAAAAAGAGUACCUUGCAUUUUUGGACUGUGUGGAUGAAGAUGAGGUACAGAAUACUGGAAAUAAAGGUUCUUGGUUUGGUUGGUUGGUUGUUGGCAGCAUUGGAGCUUAGAUUUAGGAAAAAUUAUGUUAUUUAUAUUUUACUUCUUUUCGAAAGAAGUUUAAAAAUAUUGGUUAAAGAACUUAUCUAUAGUCCCUUUUGGGGUUUUAUAACUUCAAGAAAUUGGAGAUAUCAAAUUGAACAUCGUAUAGAAAAAUAAAUAAACCUUAAAAAGGAAUAAUUUUUAUAAAAAUCUAUUAGCAGCCAAAUUUUUGUUAAUUAAACAGCAUGAAAAGGUAUGUAAAAUAUAA